rnacentral:rRNA from 1 species
UACGAGGGGGGCAAGCGUUGUUCGGAUUUAUUGGGCGUAAAGCGUGCGUAGACGGUUACAUAAGUCGGGUGUGAAAGCCCCGGGCUCAACCUGGGAAUUGCAUUCGAGACUGCGUAGCUAGGGUGCGGAAGAGGGAAGCGGAAUUUCCGGUGUAGCGGUGAAAUGCGUAGAUAUCGGAAGGAACACCAGUGGCGAAAAGCGGCUUCCUGGUCCAGCACCGACGUCAGGCACGAAAGCGUGGGGAGCAAACAGG